ACAUCUCUACUGGGCGGGACAGCUCGUCUUAUUUUGGCCCGCUGCCUGCAAUAAGACGAGCUGUCCCGCCCAGUAGAGAUGUA
rnacentral:pre_miRNA from 1 species